AUGGAGUAGUUCCGAAGAUUUAAGACCAAGCUUCUUUCAUGAUCCAGACAGAAACGUGAAGUGUCUGAAUUAUCAGAAUCAACAUGAGGGGAGAUCGUGAACAUGAAAAUAAAUGAUGUGUGGAUGAUUGAAAUAAUCAAUUCAGUAACACAAGUCUCUUCUGAACUCUCCAACACCUGACGACACCAUCACUCAUAACGUGGGAUGCAUUAUUAGGUUUACCAGACCAUAAAUCUUCCUCAGAGAACAAAAAAAGUUCUGGGUGAACUGUGUCAGUAUUAGACUUUGUGAAAGAACAGGAAUAAAUGUAAAUAUAGCUGCAAGCAGCAAUUGCGGGGCCAAGCACAAAAGUGGCAGAAUGAGGAGUUAAGCACGGCAAGGAGCAGCAGACCGACUACAACAGUGGUGCUGUUUUCAAAUUGAUGUAAUGUGUUCUGUGUGAAAUGACAAUGACACACACAAAGUUUGCCGUCAUUAUGUCAAAGCUUUGCCGAGAUACAGCCUCAGAUGUAGUUAUGUAGUUUGACAUCUUUCCAGCAAAUUUGUUGAUGCGCUAAACGAAAACGGUUUCGUAUAUCGUCACGAAAUUCAUAACUUUUUGCCAGCAUAGUCUGAAGAUGAUCUGAGUCAAAUUUGGUGAAGAUCGGACUAACAGUCUGGGAGGAGUUCGAAAAAGUAGGUUUUGUACAUUAAUCAAAAUGGCGGACAGGAAGUUUGGCCAAUUUCGGCAUAAUGGGUAUCAAUGUUCUCGACUUGACCCAAGGAAUCUAUUGGCAUCAGUUUCAUUCCAAUAGGCUAAUGUAAACAGAAGUUAUUAGCAUUUUUGUAAAUUUCAUUAUUAAUGUUUAGUGAAUGGCGUAUUACUUCUGACCCAUAGGUGGCACUGUUACCAAAUUGAUGUGGCUUGGUCAGAGUGUGGUGACAAUAGCACAUAUAAAAUUUGGUGUCAAUAUGUCAAAGCUUUGCAGAGAUACAGACUCGGAUGCAAUUUGGCAUCUUUCCAGUAAAUUCGUUGAUGCGCUAAACGAAAACGGUUUCGUGUAUCGACACAAAAUCCAUAACUUUUUGUCAGCAUGGUCUGAAGAUGAUCUGAGUCAAAUUUGGUGAAAAUUGGAUUAACGGUCUAGGAGGAGUUCGAAAAAGUAGGUUUUCAACAUGAAUCAAAAUGGCGGACAGGAAGUUCAGCCAAAAUUGGCAAAAUUGGUAUCGGUGUUCUCAGCAUGACUGAAGGAAUCUAUCAAAAUCAGUUUCAUUUCAAUAGGCUAAUGUACGCAAAAGUUAUUAGCAUUUUUUGAAAUUUCGUUAUAACUUUUGACCACAAGGUGGCGCUGGCCCCAAAAUUAUUAUGUACAUUCAGGGCAUGGUGCCGAACAUUUUUGUAAUUAAUGUCGAAAUGAUACGCUAAUCCGUUCUCAAGAUACAGCAUUUUAAAUCUAAAUUCAAAAUGGCCGACACCCAAAAUGGCUGACAUGGGAAAAUUGGAUAUGGUUCGACUCGGUAUGACACACCGAAUCUAAAGAGACCAGUUUUGUGAUUUUUGGACAAAUCAUUCAGACGUUAUAAAGAAAAAUAGCCAUUUUUCGUAUCUCCUGACCACUAGGGGGCACUGCACCGAAACACUGCAGGUAGGCUCAGGUCAUGCUUGUUAUAACACACACCAAGUUUGGUGUCAAUAUGACAAACUAUUACGGAGAUAUAGCCUCACAUUGAUUUUUGCUAGCUUUUCGUAGAAUUCUUUCGUGAGUUAUUCGUGAACGGCUGGACGAAUCGACUUGAAUUCCAUAACUUUUUGCCAGCAUGGUCUAUAGAUGAUCUGGAUCAAUUUUUGUUGCAAUCGGUGCAACGGCCUAGGACGAGUUCGAAAAAGUAGGUUUUUACGAACAAUUGAGAAUAGCGAAAAAACUAAACCUUACGAUUUUUGAAUUUUGGUGUCCAUUUGACUCGGCAUAAGCCAAGGAAUCAGAGGAAAAAAGAAAGAAUUUUUGUUGUGUGGCUUACGGUUCAAAUGUUAUUAGCAUAAAUCUUUUGAAAGUUUGGACAAGUGGUGGCGCUAGAGAGUUUGAGUUAGAGACUCCAAACUUGCUAUGGUUAAUGUUGGGACUGUCCUCUAUCAGUGUGCAAAAUUAUACAACUUUCCCGCAAGCGGUUCUAUGGGCUGCCAUAGACUUGCGGCGGAAGAGGAAGAAGAAGAAGAAGAAGAAGCGGAAUAAUAAUAACGCCAACGGAUACAAUAGGUGCCACCGCACCUCUGGUGCUUGGCCCCUAAAUAGUGUCACACCAAGUCACUCAUUUCAUGCUGUUAUACGAGUUUCCGUUGUGAAUGUAAUAUUCUGCUCAUUCUAUUUAUGUCAGUUUGCUUCAUAUCAUGAUUUGAAUCAAACAUCUUUGAAAGAUGUUUGUAAUUAGAGAUGUAGAAUUUUGCAGCUGCUAUGUUUUUGUAAUUAUUCUCAGUAUUUGUCAUUUUGUUUUUCAUUCUUUGGUUCUUUGUUUUCCUGAAUCUGUUUUUUACAUUUCUUUGAAAUAUUUACUGUAACAGAACUGGAAUAAAAACUGAACUGAACUGAACAUAUCAAGACAAGUGAAUCUGCAUCCUGGAGAUACAGACAUGCCAUUUUGAAUAAAAUCCAUAAAAU